AAGAAAAUGGCAGAUUGGAAUGUGGUCGGCUUGAAACCGUUUUAUGGGGGUUCGAUUCCCUCUUUUCUCG
rnacentral:tRNA from 1 species